rnacentral:rRNA from 1 species
UACGUAGGGAGCAAGCGUUGUCCGGAAUCAUUGGGCGUAAAGCGCGCGUGGGUGGCUUUAUAAGUCCGUUGUGAAAGUCAAAGGCUCAACCUUUGAAAGCCGAUGGAUACUGUGAAGCUAGAGUACGGAAGAGGCGAGUGGAAUUCCUGGUGUAGCGGUGGAAUGCGCAGAUAUCAGGAGGAACACCAAUAGCGAAGGCAGCUCGCUGGGACGUUACUGACACUGAGGCGCGAAAGCGUGGGGAGCGAACAGG